UGCGUAGGUGGUUGGUUAAGUUUGAGGUGAAAGCUCCGAGCUCAACUCGGAAAAUGCCUUGAAGACUAUCUGACUAGAGGAUUGGAGGGGAGAUUGGAAUUCUCGGUGUAGCAGUGAAAUGCGUAGAUAUCGAGAGGAACACCAGUGGCGAAGGCGAAUCUCUGGACAAUUCCUGACACUGAGGCACGAAAGCCAAGGGAGCAAAACG
rnacentral:rRNA from 1 species